UUAAUUCCAUUUUUCUAUGAACUUUUUGAAGUACACUCAUACUUUUCUGAAGGGUAAAUUCAUGAGAUCAACCACUCCUUUGCAAGUUGACUAUGGAGAAAGUCCAAGUAAGUUAGCCAAAAAGAGUGAAAGAUAGGGGACCAGUGUUGUGAUGUGGUAGGUUAAGCCUCGACCUGCAGCACUGGCAUCCCAUAUGGGCUCUGGUUCAAGUCCUGGCUGCUCCAUUUCUGAUUCAGCUCUCUGCUUUCUCUCUGGGACAACAAUGAAAGAUAGCCCAAGUACUUGACCCCUGUACCAUGUGGGAGACCUAAGAGAAUCUCCUGGCUCUUCACUUUAGAUAAGCCCAGCUCCAGCCAUCAUGGCCAUUUGGGGAGUGAACCAGCAGAUGGAAGAUCUCUCUUUCUCUCUCUGCCUGUCAUUGUAACUCUGCCUCUCAAAUAAAUAAAUAAAUGUUAAAAAAAAAAGAGUGAAAUAUAGGACUUUCUGUCAUUUUAUGCAGUAAACAUAAAGUAGGCUAAACCACCCCCUGGCUAUCAGGAAUCUUUGAAGACCUUUGUGAAUACAGAGGACGUGGGUGUAUCUGGCAUCAUGUGAUGGGUACAACAUGACAUUUUAAAGCACGUGAUGGUAUUUAAAACUGUUUUUCUCCUAAACACUUUAAGUUCACCCUUCCUACAAAUGUGUUUAGCCUAGUAAUGCACACAAUCUAUAAUUAUCUCAGCAACGAGUAAAUUUCAUUCCAGCUUCUGUGGCACUACAUUGAAUGAGGCUUAUUGACUUGGUAUGGUUCCUAUUCACUCAGUGGUGGGAGGAAAGUUCUUGACUGGAAUCUCAGAUGGAUGAUGAAAGAUCUGCUGUGAAAGCUGUGUCUUCUGCAAGAACCAAAGGAACCGGGACACAGAAGCCUGCAAUGAGAUGCUGGCCCUGUCCUCUUCAGAGACGGCAGCAGGUCCCCACUUGCUCUGCACAACCUCCAGGGAACUGCUCGUACCCAGCCCUGACAGCCCACACAGUGCCACCUCUGGGUUCACGGCUGGAAUCUGAUGCCCUCCCCCAGCUUCUCUGGUGGCAACCCUACCUGCCCCAGAUUCAAGGCCUGCGUCAGCGGCUGCUCCAGGAGGAGGCUGUGCCUCUGCAGGCAAGACCCCAGUUACUGGUUCUGGCAGCCUCAGGAGGGCAGCUCUCUGGCCUGACCCACACCCUUGAGGGGCACGAAGGUAUGGAAUGCCGCCAUAUCACCUCCCCACAACAGCCAUCAGCUUGGAAGAGACCCCAUCUUCCCAACUCCCCUGUGCCUGGAGCAACCUUCCCAGCAGUACAGGAUGUAAAGGCACCUUGGUGACCCUCUCGUCCAGUGUUCUCACUUUACCCAUCAGAAACCUAAGGUCCAGAGAGUUGAGUUAGUUACCAAGACCUCACAGCUGGCAAUGGCCGUGCAGGGUAGAUGCUCUGUUUAGCUCUUGACACAGCCCCAAGUUGUCUGAAGGAGCUGUAUCUCGGAGAACUGGCUAAUGGUGGGCCAGGCCUGGAAGCUCUGUAUGUGAAUUAGAAGCCCCUAAUGUCCUAGGACUCUGUAAUGUGAUGGGGAAGAUAAUGAAGCUGACACUGCAAGGAGGCUAUUUGCUUCACCCCCUUGCUCUUCUCUCUGCUCCCCAUUUCGUGAUGGGAUCAGAUGAGGUCACUCCUCAGGUGGAUGAAAAUCUCUGCCCUCCCAAGCUGCUCUCUCUCCCUAAGCUCAUUAUCUGACAGGCUCCUACCUUCCCACGGCUUGCAGAGAGCAGGUAAAGUAAUUACGUGUUUUUCUUAAAUGGCCCUUCCAGUUGACAGAAACAGCUGCCCAGGGAUACAGUGGCCUCUCCUUCCCUGUUCUCUAUUAGCUGAUGCUGGAGGGUGCCAAAAGUGAUGGAGAAAACCAAUGAUGGGACUGCUACCCUCUCCAAGCUAGUCCCCACAGCAGAGUACCUGGAGCAGAUGAUGGAGGAGGAUGGCAUCACUCUGAGGACCUGUGUGUGCCCAGGUCGGCCUGCUCUGUUCAUGGACACUGCCCAACACAUAUGUCCUUGGGUGCUGGUGGCCCUGAUCGGGGACAAAAAGAACCCAAACUUUCCUCCUGCCUUGCACGCCCCUCUGUUACACCAAUGCACUGGUCUAAGCCCAUUGUUGGUGAUGUUUAGUGUCCUUUUUCAGUCCAGAGCAUGCACUGCUGCUGCUUGGAGAAUGCACUGUGUGAGGGGAAUAAUAAUGCGCUACUGAGCCCUUAUAGGCUGGGGCACGGGACAGGGGACACAGGCAAAGCACAAGGGACACCGCCCCCAGACUGGAUGGAUGAAAAGGUAAGUCAGCAAUCUUCUCGGACAAAUGAGCAAAACAUGUAUUUACACAUAAAGAUGAACUUGAAUGCAAAGGGUCCAGUAUCAAAACACAAGGACAAAGCAAAAGAAAGAGUGGAGGAAGAAAAAAUACAGUGGAGACAAGCAGGAGAACUUUUGAACUCCCCAAAGAGUUAAGUCCAGUCUUAGCUAACAGAGCCUACGGUGAGUCCAGAAUUCAGCAUUAUUGUGUCAAAGAUAAUAGCAGCCUUAUUACAACAGAGCGCUCCAUAUACAUUAGUGCCCACACACUGUCACCUAUCUGAAUUUAGCAGUAUUUUGUUCACAGAAUAAUGCUGAAUUGCCAUUGUUACAUCUUAGAAUUACACAUUCAUUAAUGGAAACACAGGAUUAGUGGUUCUUCUGUUCAGUGCAAAGUCCCAAAUGAAGAUUCAUUGUGGAGUAGCCCCAAAGUCAGUAAUGGCCAUCAUUAGAAGAACGUGCAUCGAAAUCAAAGGAUCUGUAAUUAUUUUAUAUUUUCCUAGUAUCAUCUGUGUUCCUCCAAAUUGUCCAACACUCUUGGUGUAAUCUGACAUCCUUCUGACCUCUCUGUGCAAAAUUUUAUUGCAAGCUGUUCAAAGUUAUAGAGACUUUCCCAAUAGAAAGUUUAUUAGCAGCCAUUUUGCUUCAAAUUGGACCUCAAAUUGUAGUUAAUAUGACUUUACUAUCAUUAAAUAGUACACCAAAAAUUUAGCCCAAACAAAAUCAACCAAGUUCUUCAGAUUUUAUCAUUGGAACAAACAUGCUGAGAACAAAGUUUCUCCCUCUUUUGUAUUUUAGGUUGUGAUCAUUUGAGUUGGCCACCCUAAUCUAGGGAAAGGGAAAGAAGCUGAUAUACCUGGUGACUUUAAAGAGUUAGAGGGAAUAAAUGAAAUUAAAGAUAAGUGUAUUAUGGCACAAAAAACUUUUUUCAAUCCUUGCAUAAGUUUUUUGGUUUGGGGGUUUGGGAUUUUUUUGAGAGGUAGAGAGAGUGAGUGAGCUCCCAUCUGUUUGCUUACUCCCCAAAUGCUUUCAAUCACCAACACUGGGCCAGGACCAAAGCCAGGAGCCAGGAACACAAUCCUAUUCUCCCAUGUUGGUGGCAGGGACCCAGUUAUUUGAGCCAUCACCACUGCUUACGAGGGUCUGCAUUCGUAGGAUGCUAGAGAGACACUAAAGGCAAUUUUAUCAAACCCAGGCACUGUGAUGUGGAUACAGGCAUCUUUACCAGCAUCUUAAUUACUAGGCCAAAUACCCACCCUCAAACACAAUGUUUUCAUAAUAUGCAUUCCCCUUGAAUUUUUGAAGUUCCUUCAUACACGAGGAAGCUUGGUGGGGAGGAGAUGGUUUUGCCAAAGUUGUGUUUAUUGCUGUAGACAUUCCUAAACCUUUCCUGUAUCCAGUUCUCCCUUCCUCUUAGAGGAAGGCCAUUUGACAAGCAAGCUCUGGCCUAUGAAACAGCAGUGGAAGUGGCAUGGUUGCUUCUGGGCUGAGUUUAGGUAGAGUAUGUGCUACCUGAAUCUCUUCUCUUCCCUCUUUGCUGUGUCCUUGUGAAAAUCCAAUGAGGUGUACACUGCAACGUACUUUUCUCAGUGAAAAGGGUAAAAAUAGAAAGCGCUCCUGAGUCAGUCUUGCCUUGGUGGGAUCCCUUAGUUCUCAAAUUUCUACCAGCUGAUGUCUCCAUCACCAGACUCAUCAUUUUUAUUCACUAGCUAAUGUUAAAAAUGCCUUCUCCCCAGUCAGAGGAUCAGGUGCACAGGAUCUAUCGAGGGAGUGCUUUACAGAAAGAACCAUCAGGGAGGGAAGGAGUGAAGCAUGGUUGAGCAAGGUUGAGUCCAACCUUGGUCUAACCAGUGAUGGAAUGGGGCAACUCUGGAGCAUAAAUAGAACUGGAGAACUAAGCUACACCCUCCGUCUGAUGUAAGAGGUCCUGACUUUUAUACUCCAAUAUCAGUCAAUGGCUAUGGGUCCUCCUAGCCUGGAGGGGCAGUGUGCAUUUUCUGGGCAAAGCUAUUCCCAUCAGGUGAGAAAAAUGAAGUUUUUGGAAAAGCAAGUAAUUGAUAGCUAUUAUCUAUUAGCACACUAAGCAGCUGGAGCCCUCAGCUCAGGACAGUGGAGCCAAGCAGCACCUACUAUAGUCGAUCCCUUGACUGUUCAUUUCCACUCUCUCCUCACAUUGAGCUCACUCCAUCCACAUAUAGUUUCUACAGGACUCUGUGUAACAAUUCCUAAGGGAACUUGCAAGAGGAUUGAAGGUAGAAUGAUCUUCAGCCUCCACUGCUGUAGCUGAUCCCAAAGCCAUCACCAACAACCAUCAUUUCCCUGUUCUAGCACUGUUUUAGUUGAUUUCUUACUACCACAUAACAGAACACCUGUUUCUGAGUAGUUUAGAAAAAGCAAGGAUUUAUUUAUCUCAUGGUUCUGUAGGCUGGAAAGUCCAAAAGGAUGAUUCUAUCAUCUGACGAGGUUUCUUCUUGCUGUAUCAUAACAUGGCAGAGGGCAUCACACAGUGAAAGGGACCAAGUGUGCUAGUGUCGGUCUAUCUUCCUGCUCCUAGAGAGCCACUGACGACACCAUAAGGGCCCUUCCUCGUUACCUCACCUAAUCCUAACUACCUACCAAAGGCCCUACCACCAAAUAUCAUUAACAUAUGACUUUGAGAUUAAGUUUACAACAAAUGAAUUUGGGGAACACAUUCAAACCGUAGUAUAAAAACCAUCCCUGAGACUCAUCAAAAUGCCAAACAUGGCCCCUUGGCCCCUGUGUGUUUUCAGCGCACGAUAAUCAGGAACAGUUCCUUGUAGGAUGGUAGAUGUUCUAUGCCUGCUUGCCUACAGGCAUCAGAAGACCAAAGUGAACAGAGUGACAACCAUGCUUUUACAUUAACUGGGACUUUUACUGUAUUCCUUGGUGGAAGCAGUCAUCUCUGAGAAGCAAGAUAUCUAAAAAAUGGGAAUGAAAAUAGAAAUUUCCCCAGUCAGUUAUGAUGAUAGAAAUGAUGAACAAAGCCAUAUUUACCUCCUGGACCCAGGUCUUCUACCUCAUAUGGAUACAGUGUGUGUAAUAGCAUGAGUUUGAAUAGCCUAAUGCAUCCUAAGCCAUCUACACCGGAUGUCUUAUUCAAGUACAUGACUCAUCUUCUAUUUAGGAGGCCUUUCUACUAUUCAGUUUGUUUGUUUGUUUUGCUUUUUUUUUUAAAGAUUUUAUUUAUUUAUUUAUUUAUUUGAAAGGCAGAGUUACAGGCAGAGAGAGGGAGAGACAGAAAUAAAGAUCUUCCAUUCACUGGUUCUCUCUCCAAAUGGCCACAGUGACCGGUGGUAGGCCGAUCCAAAGCCAGGAACCAGGAGCUUCUUCUGAGUCUCCCAUGUGGGUGCAGGGGCCCAAAGACUUGGGCCAUCUUCUACUGCUUUCCCAGGCCAUAACAGAGAGCUGGAUCAGAAGUAGAGCAGCCAGGACUAGAACCAGCACCCAUAUGAGAUGCUGGUGCCACAGGCUGAGGCUUAGCCCACUAUGCCACCAGCACAAGCCCCUCCACUAUUCUAUUAGGUUGUCAGUUUCUAAAUAGUGAGGCAUGCCAUGAAACUAGUGGAUCCCAUGAUCAUGGGUCAUGUGACACAUGGCCACACCUCCUUUGCCAUAAGUGAGUCUUUAGUUCAAGAAGAUGUUCAGUGUGACCCAAUGUCAGCAAAUCAGACACUCUGUGAGCCCUUGGAGAGUUUGAUGGCCAAGGCCUUGUAAAUAGGAAAGACAAAUCCAUGUUCAGAAUAUGCAUCAACCUCAGUGAGUAUGAAUCACUACUCUAUACAGGAUGGGAAAGGUCACACAGAACAGACACCACAAGUAUCCUUCAGAUCUAAAACAAGAGUUGAAGCUUCACUAGGCUUGCAAUGGAUUGUUGCUGGGCCUGUAGGACACCUCAUACAAUGCUACCCAUAAUUACCCAAAUAAAUGUCAAGGGGGUCUCUUUAGGGAAGAACUGAGAAAUCUCUACUAUAUACACUUGCCUCCGUGUUAUAGAAUUCUUCCUCACUUGACAUGACUUUCAAUCCUUGACUCGACCUUCAAUCAGUGGGGUUAUAUGUCUGAGAACAGGCUAAUUUUCUAAUUUGAACAAUAAAUUGUGAGUUCCCAUUGGGACUUUGCCUUUCUGCUCUCUUCAUUGGUGGGGCUGAUGCUAUCCAGCUCACGACAGGCAGUUUGGCAUUUAUUCACUCAAUAUCCCAUGUUUGGAUGCUCUGUCUCUACUGGUGCCAAUAGCACAGCAAGAAAUGGUUUUCAAAUGAUAUGUAGUCCUCUGCAAAUGACUUGAGCUUGUUUUAGAACCCCAGAGUCUUUGCUGGAACUUCUCUUUAGAGACUUCCUGGAGCCUGUACUCAGUAUUGUAUUCUCCCCAGAUGCUUCUAGGACCAUGGUGUCUCCUAGGCCACAUGGAUCACCAAAGGAAUGGUAUAUGUGCACCUUAGGAAUGUCUCUUGUUCUGUAACCAACACAAAACUUUCAGCCUUUCAUGUCACUUGAUAAGUGAGUUGGAGAAAUAUUCUCAAGUACAGAAUAUACUGCCUUUAAAACCCAAAAAGAUCUAAUAAUUGCGGUGCUUCUUUCUGAAUAGUAACACGUGCAAAUAUGCAUUUAUUCCUGGCUUUGUUCCUUACUAAGAACAAGGCACUUGCUCCUUACCUCAGAAAAACUAUCUUAGCAUGGCCCAGACCACUGCACAUCUAUAACCUUCACUAAUGUGGCAGGCCCUGGCAUCUUUGUUGAGUUUAUCUCCCGCUUUUGGGACCAUUUGUCUGGUAAGGCAUCUGGAGUAUUUGCCAGAGUGGAGCAAUGUUCUUCAGAAUGUUUGGUCAAUCCAGAUCCUUUCAGAUUAUUUUAUGACAGAACGCAUAAGAAUCGACAUACUUCUGGAGCUCGAUCCUGACUCUACAGUGUUGUCCAACCCAGAUGGAUGCUAACUGCUUCUGUUGCCCCUUCCUCAAGGAAAAGAACACGUUCAGCAAAUCUGUAAUGCAUCCCCCUUACUUGAGGCUGUGCUAAUCUGUUCUAGUAAAAAUAGCACAUCAGACAAAGAAGCUCUAAUUGUUGCCAUUACUUGGUCAAGUUUGUGAUAGUUUGUUAUCAUCUUCCAUGAUCAAACUGGUUCUGCAAGGACCAGACAGGAGAUUAUGAUAAAAGCCACUACCCUUGAGUCAUGUGAGUCAUGUAGUAUAGCACUUAUCUCUGUCAUGCUUUCUAGGAUACUGUGUGCUUUUGAGUUACUGUCCUGAUAUGGGAAGGAAUUUUAGGGGCUUCCAUGUCGCUUUUCCCAUAACAUUAACUCUUAGUCCCUUCCCCAUGAAAGACCACCAAGCUCAGUAUACUCCCACCAUUUAUACAAUCAAGCCUUUGGGAGACAGUCGCCUUUUGGUUUAUGGACCUAGGAGGCACUGUGAGGUGGAUAAGGGCCAUGACUCCAUUUAUUAUUACUUACCCUAUAAAGUCCUCCUCUAGCAAGGAUCUGAUAGUGCUUUGGGUCCCCAGGGAUCAGCAUCUACUCAGAUCGGUAACCAACAACUGGGUAUAAUCUAUUCUUGAGGGACUAAUUACCCAGGUAAAUGUCAAGGGGUCUUUUUAGGAAAGAACUGAGCAAUCCCUAUUGGAUACACUUGCCUCUGUGUUAUAGAAUCCUUCCUUACAGGGCCUUGACCUUCAAUCAGCGGGGUUAUAUGUCUGAGAACAGGCUCAUAUUUCUAACUUGCGCAACAGAUUGUGAGUUCCCAUUGGGACUUUGGCCUUCUGCUCUCUUCAUUCUUAUUCCUUUCGGAGGCCAUAUUUCUGAAAAAAUAAACUAUAAUCACUGUUAGAGAUAUAAGGUGGGACAAAUGGUGAAAAAAGUACAGUUCCUCACCUCAUGGAACUCCCCGCUCCACCUUUCUAUGAUGUGAAUAUUUGUGUCUUCCUCAAAAUUCAUGCUGAAAGCUUAACCGCCAUCAUGUCUCAGCCUUUUGACCAAGAUCAAGCAAAAUCCUAACCCUUAGGGCAAUGAUAUCAGGAAGUAGGACUCUUGGGUGAUUAAGUCAUGAAGGCAGAGCCCUCAUGAAUGGAAGUACUGUUCUUACAAAAGAGACCAAAGAGAAGCUAGUUGGCCCCUUCCACCACAUGAAAAGAGAGUGAAAAGAUGGAGUUUAUGAACCAAAGAGUGGGCCCUCACCAGACACUCAUUUUGCCUUGAUCUUGGACUUCUCAGGCUCAUACCGUGAGAAACAAAUUCCCAUUAUUUACAAGCCACCCUGCCAUAACAUUUUGUUACAUCAACCCAAAUAGAUUAAGACAACCUUGUCUUAACUUCCCAGGCUGAAAAAUUGGAAUACUAAGAUGGAAAAUGCUGUAGAUUCUCAGUGGCUGACAAAGUUGAAAGGAAAAAUGACAACAGUAAUAAUGGUUAACAUUGAAAGAUUACCAUGUGUUCUAAGUGCCUUACCUAUGUCAUUUGAUUUAAUCCUCACAGCCCUGUGAAAUGGGUUUCCUCAUUCUAUGGAUGAUGAAAUUUGCUUUUAGAGAAAUGGCCAAAGUUCAAAUUGCCUCCCUAAAGCUGUUUGUGACCAAAUAAAUACAAGAUCAAUCAACAGCAAAAAAGAGAAUUCAAGUUGAAUGGUUGGCAUCGUGACCAGAGGAGGUCAAAUUCUCCAGAACUCCUCACUUGAGUACAGAGUACUUAUUUAAAUAAUUCUUUUUUUAUGAUUCAAGCCAAUCUGGAAAUGCCAAGGAGUUCAAAACUCAAGAGAUUAAGUCAUCUAACUCAACAGUUAUCCAUUGGAAACACCUGCCAUGUACUGAGGCUUGAGGGGGAAAAAAAGCCAUUCUGUCCUGAAGGCUCUUGUGUGCACUGAUAGGUAAUGAGUCACACAAGAACUAAAGACCUGGUUGUCCAGUGUUUUUCAAAUCACAGGUCCCAAUCCAUUAGUGAAUCAUGACAACAGCCUAAUAGGUUUUGACUAGGGUUUAAAAAGAUGAAAUAGAACUUAUUCAAAGUGACUAUAUAGAAAAUACCAGAUUGUGUCUUUUGUAGUAAGAAUACUGUUUUUGUGAAAUUUUAUUAUUCCAAUGAAUUAAAAUGUAUUUCUUAGUGUUGGUUGUGGUCAAAAAACUUAAAAAAAAAUUGCAUAGGACAUAUGUAAAAAUACCUAAGGGAACAACACACAACAGACCAACCUCAGAUCAAGGGGCAAAGGAGCCACCAAGUUGACAUCAUUUGAGAAAAAAAAAAUUAAAUGACUAAAUCAGAAGCUUAGGGACCAGAGUUGAAGAACAGCGGGUUAAGCCUCUACCUGUGAUGCUGGCAUCCCACACGGGAGCAUUGAUUAGUGUCCCAGCUGAUCUGCUUCCAGUCUAGCUGUCUGCUAAUGCACCUAGGAAAGCAGCAGAAGACAUUCCCAAGUACUUGAGCCUCCAGAACCCACGUGGCAGUAUUUCUAGCCUCCUGGCUUUGGCUGGACCAGCCCUGGCCAUGGUAUCCAUUUAGGGAUUAAACUAGCAGAUGGAAGAUCUUUCUGUUUCUCUAUCACUCUCCCUUUCAAAAUAAAGAAAUAAAUAGUUUAUUUAAAAAAACACUUUCUUGGCUAUCUGAGAUUAACAUAAAUAUUUCUAUAGCCUAUGGAGUCAUAUGUCAAAAUUUUCUAGAAAGAGACAGACAUAGGGGUACAGCAGGUUGAGCCACCACUUUGAACAUCCACAUCCCAUAUGGGACAGCUUCAUUCAAGUCCUGCCUCUGCCUCUGAUUCAGCUUCCUGAUAUUGUGCACCUUGGGAGGCAGCAGAUAAUGGCUUAAGUACUUUGACCCCUGCCAUUUAUGUGGGAGACCCAGAUGGAGUUCCCAGCUCCUGGCUUCAGGAUGGCUCAGCCCCAGCAUUGCAGACAUUUGAGGAGUAAACCAGUUAAUGGAAUUCUCUCUCUCUCUCUUUCUCUCUCUCAAAUUCUUCCUUUCUCACUUUCUCUCUCCCUUUUCAAAAAACAAAUUUUGAAAUGGAAGGUUACCUGACACCUAAUCCAGAAACAUGUUUUUUGUUUUUUGUUUUUUACAGGCAGAGUGGACAGUGAGAGAGAGAGAGACAGAGAGAAAGGUCUUCCUUUUGCCGUUGGUUCACCCUCCAAUGGCCGCUGCAGCCGGCGCGCUGCGCUGAUCCGAAGGCAGGAGCCAGGUGCUUCCUCCUGGUCUCCCAUGGGGUGCAGGCCCAAGCACUUGGGCCAUCCUCCUCUGCACUCCCGGGCCACAGCAUAGAGCUGGACUGGAAGAGGGGCAACCGGGACAGAAUCCAGUGCCCCAACCGGGACUAGAACUCAGGGUGCCGGUGCCUCAGGUGGAGGAUUAGCCUAUUGAGCCGCAGCGCCGGCCAGAAACUUGCUUUUAAAAUAGCCCUUUCUUUAAAAAACCAGGGCAGGGGGAUGGAAUUAAAAGACAAUGGGCAUUUCCCAUGAACUUUAUGAACACAGCAACAACAAAGAACCCAUUUAGGCUUUGACCAUGACCAUGAUGCGGAGACCUCUAGUAGGGAUACCUGUAAUGCCCAGCAUCGCUGCAUGACCCCGAAGCACCUCUCCACCACCAUUCCCAGUGCUGAGCGCUCAUUUCUCCACACUGGGUCUGAGGAAAUGGCCGUGGGCACACAGACCUGAGGGGGCAGACUGGACGUGAACAACGAGGACCCCAGAGGCUAACAUGCCCUUGAAGGAGCUGUCCAUGCUGCUCAAAGGCAGGCUUUUGAGGCUGCACACGUCACUGUUUGUUCCCACUUUGCUAUUUAUGUUGGCCACUGCUCAUAAAAACCCAGAUCGCUCCUCCACGAGCCACACCACCACAUGAAAUCUCCUGCUUGACACGCCAGUGUGGGUCCAAAAAAAUGUCUAAAAUGGAAAGGAGGAAAUUUAUAAAUUUGCAAAGCACUUUUCACUCGGGCAGGGCUCUAUAUGAGUCAUGCUUCGUAUUAAAACAGCACCUUCCUUCCUAAAUGGUUCUGAGAGCUGCACUCUGCUUAUCACAGUCUCCCAUAUGGGAAGCACCAACAAAGAUCCUUCUUACAGACUCCCAGGGGCUCCAGUCCCUAAAACAGGGUUGGAUCGGGUACAGCCUGGAGAAGGAGGAUAUGCACGCUUCUAACCACCCCCGGGACGCUGCACUUGCAAAGUCACGAAGCACAGGCACAGCAGGCAAUUUUAUGCUUGAUUCAUAAACCAGAGCUCUGAAGGGCGGCGGUGUCAGAAACUCCAGUCGCACUCAGCUACCAGAAGGGAUCCGCAGAGGGGGCUUUGCAAAAACCGCCCAGGCGUUUUAUCCAGAGCUUGCCUAGGCUGUGUCUUUGGCCAGAAGGUUCUUCCCUGCCACUCUGUACUGGCCUCAUUUCUUCUCAUCCGCCAUGCAGAUGUCACCCUGUCAGAGAUCCCCUCCCUGACUUUCUUCCCCAAAUCAAUUCUCUCUCCACGCAUCCUGCCCUUCUCCUUUGCAGCACGGAUGGCCGUGAAUAAUUAUAAAUGCUGAUCUGUGUGCUGAAUACCUGUCUUUGCAGGUGACUGAGGUUCUGUAAGAGCUGCAGGCUUCUCCAUGGACACCCAGCACCUCGCCGGCUGAAGACCUGAAUGCUUAUUGAAAGAGUGAAUGAGUUUUCUUUGUAAAACUGAAACUUUGUUACCUGGGACUUAGCAGGAAGUGGUUGUUUUGCUAUCAAAUUUUAAGGAGAUAAUCAUGAUUCUGAAAAUGUUAACUGGUAGAUUCACCCGUGUUCAUAACAGCAUGGUUCACAGUAGCCUAGAGGUAGAAGCCAUCCAAGAGUCUGUUAAGGGAUGAACACAAAAUGUGGCCAGAUGAACAGUUAAUGGGAUAUUAUCCAGUCUUUAAAAGCAAGGAAAUCCGCUACCUUCUCCAACAUGGAUGAACUCUGAGGAGGUUAGGCUAAGUGAAAUAAGCCAGUCACAAAAAGACAAACGCUAUACAAUUCCACUUGCAUGAGGUACAUGGAGUAGUCAGAUUCAUAGCCACAGAAGGCAAAUGAUGAUUACCAGGGUAGGGGAAGGGAGGAAUGGGGAGUUGUUGAUUAAUGAGAAUAGUUCUAGUUUGGGGAGAUGAAUACUUCUAGAGAUGAAUGGUGGUGAUAGCAGCACAGCUGUGUGUUCAGACACUAAUACUCUUAAGCUGUCCACUCAGAAGGGAUCUGUCUUCACUUCUUGUUUUUUUUUUUUUUUAAGAUUUAUUUAUUUAUUUGAAAGGCAGAGGCAGAGAGAGAGAGAGAGAGAGAGAGAGAGAUCUUCUAUCUGCUUGUUCAUUCCCCAGAUGGCUGCAAUGGCCAGAGCUGUGCCAAUCUGAAGCCAGAAGCCAGGAGCUUCUUCGGGGCCUCCCAUGCAGGUGUAGGGGCCCAAGGACUCUGGGCAUCCUACACUGCUUCCUCAGGCCACAGCAGAGAGCUGACCAGAAGUGGAGCCGCCAGGUCCCAAACCGGCACCCACAUGGGAUGCAGGCACUGAAGGCGACAGUCUAACCCACUAUGCCACAGUUCUGGCCCCUAAAUAAAUAAAUUUUUAAGUAAAUUUUAUAAUAUUAAGUAUUUACUGCCACAAAAAAUGCAUGGUUUUGGUGUCCCAGCAGUAUGGGGCAUAUUGUGUAUAAAUGCUAACAAACAAGACAAAUGUUGGUGACACACUAGGUGAAAGGUUUGAAUUCUGGCCGUGGUUCAGUAGAGCUUUCAGAUUUCCUCUUCCCUAGCCAGAGAGACCCCAUGUGGAGCCCAAUGUCCUCCACACAGCAGGUGUUUAGAAAUACUCCUUGAAUGGGUGGCUGGAGAAUCUUGAAUAACAAAGACGGAAUUUUAAAUUGUGUUACACUGUUGUGUUUCUGAAAAGAGUGCUUCACUUUCAAAGGUUAACAAAGAAAUCACAAUCUUCAUGGUGAAAGUUUACAAGAUGGCUACCGUAAUUAACCACAUUUUACAGAGAGGGGUCAGCACCUUGCUUAGGAGCAUGCGUCUAGGCUUGGCAGCACCAGAUGGCACGUUCUUAACCAGAGAGUUCUACCAGCUCUUGGGAGGGCAAGAGAAGGGAGGCAAAGGGAGAGAAGACAAGCUGCAUUUCUUAAAGUUUAAAAGUCAAGACACACUUAACUAUUUGACCCAUUUUAAUGCGCACAUCUUGAUACAAACAACUAAGCACAGGGUUCCUGUGUUGUCUCCCAAGCCACAUCUUGAGUCUUAUCCAGCAUAGCCACCUCUUGUUUCCCAGGCUGCUGGCCCCAGAGCCUGCACAGAGAUCCUACCCGCCCCCCUCCACACACACACACACACACACACACACACACACACAGCCUCACUCACUCUUCCGGUCGCAGAUGAUAACUUCCCUUAACACCCCACAGUUUCCAGAAGGCUGCAUUGUUCGAGUCCUCAUUUUGCAGCUCCAAAAGACCUCAUUUCCUCUGGCUAUUCUUUGCUGCUUCCUUAGUUGGUAGGGAACAAAACCAACCCUCCCAUUCACCUCUGUUCUGGUUCAUCACUCUCUAGGAACCUUAAAAAUACUCUUAAAGUGGUAAGACACACAGCAGGAGCAGAGGCAGAAUACAAGUGUGGUGCGCCUAGUGGUGGCCGGAGCUGUAGGGCAGGUAGGAGUCAUGGAGACAGAACUCUACAAAAGAAAAGUCUCGUGAAAGCCACAGAACACAAAACAUCACACUGGGUGCACCCAUAAGUAUCCUUGAACUGGCGCUUAUUCUGAUAAAUGUUUUUAUUAUUGAUGUCAACGCAAGCCAGUUUGUAUGAAAGAACACUCAGAAACCAUCAUCUAAAGAGAAAGAGGAAAAGACUUGAGAAGGGGAGGGUCUGUGUUUACUAGCCCUCUGCUCUCCUGGAGAUGUAAUUUAUCACCCUUGCUAGGGUGUCUGCCUGGUCUGUAUUCCUCUAACGCGUCUGAGGAAGGCUUCCUAGGCCUAAGAGAAACGGCACUUGUGUUCCUCUGGGCAGACACCGGCAGCUUUGUGCUAGCAUUUCCAUUACACUAGACAGACGGGUUAUUUUUUUUUCCUCCUCUCUCUGAAUUCUGGCCAUGGCCUGACAAUGCAGAGCAGCUCUCAGUAACGGUGAGACAGGGCAGUCACCUGCGGCUGGCAGCAAGGGCCCAGGGCCAUUGCACAGCUAUUCUCCAGGAUCAGAUUCAGCACGCAUUGGCAGUCCCUCUCCUGCUUUAGAGGCCGUGAAAUCUUAAAAUCACUCUUUGGUGACUUGCCUUCUUUGACUAGUAGACUUUGUAGAGAAUAAAACAGAAAGCGUAGAGAGUCCAGCUGGAGAUGCAAACAGUGGAAGGAAACAAUGGGCUGUGGUGAUUUUGAGCUCCUGAGAACGCUUCAGCCUUGGUGAAUGAGGAGAUGCACACUCUGCUCUCCUGCCCCCCUCCAUCACGGUGCCUAGAGAAUGGAAGGCUGUAGUUCUCAAAAGACAAACCAAAGAUCAAGUUCAGUAGCCCUGUGUAUGCUUGAAGCAAUUUGCAUCUUUAUUUUCAGGCUUAAACAAAUUUCAGAGUAACUGAAAAAUCAAAAAACACCAUAAUACAUAACUGUAUCAUAAUAACAGGAUCACAUAGAAACUGAUUUCUUUUACUAUAUAUAUAUUUAAAGGUUGGGGGGGGUCCCUUCUGCUGGUUCACUUCUCAAAUGUCCACAGCAGCUAAAGCUGUGCUGGGCCACAGCCAGGAUUUCUCCAUGUCUCCAAGUGUUUACCAGAGCCCAGUUACUUGAGCCCUCACCUCUGCCUCCCAAGGCCUGCGUGAGCAGGAAGCUGGAGUCCAGAAUUGGACCUUGGAACUGAACCCACUCACUCCAAGGUGUAACUUGUGCAUCUUAGCUGAUUUCAAAAUCAACUGAUUUUUCAAAAAUGUAUCUUUUCAAAUAAUAUUCUCCAUGUUUUUCUUUAAUCUCCAGAUUAUCGUUUGAAUAAAAGACUAUUAAAAGGAUUAGGUCUAAUUGUCAGUCUGAGAAAGUAGACUGUGUCCACUAUGCAAAACAUCUAGAUACACAGGGAAAACUGUGUGUUUAUCAUGCUUUUAUCCUACAUAUCCUGAUUUUUUUUUGGGUCACCUGUACAAGGGACUUCAAAAUGUUUAUAGAAAAUGGAAUUAAAAGAUAAGUUUAUUUUGGUGCAAAAAUUAUUGAAAUCCAUGAAUACAAAGGGUCUUCUAAAAGUUCAUGAAAAAUGUUUACCAUGAAAGAACUAUGCAUGGAUUUCAAAAAAGGUUUUUUGACACCAAAAUAAACUUUUUUUUUUUUUUUGACAGGCAGAGUGGACAGUGAGAGAGAGAGACAGAGAGAAAGGUCUUCCUUUUGCCGUUGGUUCACCCUCCAAUGGCCGCCGCGGCCAGCGCGCUGCGGCUGGCACACCGCGCUGAUCCGAUGGCAGGAGCCAG